GAGAGCGUAAAAAUGGAAAAGCGUGAGAGAUUUGUGUUGACGGUGUUGUCACCACCAGUCGUUUCUGGCGCUGUGGUGGUAUGCGUAUCUGGGACAUUAAGGAGAGUUCAAUAGAGAGUAGAUCUUAAGUUUAAAGACAGCAGGGGUGAAGCAGAUCUGAGCAAUUGGUAAUAAAAUCAUGGAAGAAGAAGCCAGUUACAAGGUGGUCACCUUUAAAGAAUACAAGUUAGCAGUCGUACCUUUCGCUUCGUGUGUAAGAAUCAACCGAAGCUAAAAAUCAAGAAGCCCUUUAUCAUGAGUCACAACUGGAGAUCGCUAAACUGAAUCUGAUCGCAUAUUAGAAUAUUCUUUUAUUGUUGUUUAUUAUUUAUGUUAUCAGUUUAUUUUGGUAUUGUUUUCAUUACUAUGUAUUUAAACUACAAAUCAUCAAUAAUAUAGUGAUCAAUGUUGAAACUUUUGAGAUGACAAAUUAAUAAUUAGUUAAGCCAGAAGUUUGAUGAUAAAUUAGCGAUGAAAUAUAAAAAAGUAAUAUGAAUUAGUGACAAUUAUUUAGUAAUAAAAUGUUACAAAGUUUAAGGCCACGAAUAGUCACGAUAAAGAUGGAUUAGUAAUUAUUUUUUUGCGACGGUUUGAAACUUUAUUUUAGUGGUAACUAGAGACGAAAUUAAGACGUGUAGACAGUCACGUAAUAUGACAAUUUUGUGAUGUUCAUUGUGGUUGGUAAUUGUAACGUUUUUCUUACUUUAGUAAAUAGUUGCUAUCUGUGACGAAAUAGUUACAAUAUAUAUCGUCAUAAACGGAGUGACGUUUUUUGUUACCAACAAAAUUUGUGACGAUCAUAUUGUCACCAUUUUAAGAACGUCACAAACUGGUCACAAUAUUUUUAUUGUUACGAAUUAUUCUUUAUUGUGACAAGAAAAUUUGUAACAAUAUGGCUAUUUUUUUAUAGUGAAUACAGGGACACAGACAAUUAACGAGUUCCUGAAAGAAAAAAAACGUCAAAAACAUUUACAUUUUUUCUAUAAUUUAGCGGGUCAAAACUCAACCGACUAAUAAUUUGGAAGUUUGUUUACCAGCACUAGAUAUAUCUGGUACAUUUUAUUUUAUGCAUGAACUUAAAAACUAUGCAUGUUAUAAAAAACUUAACACUAUGUAGAAUAAUAUAUAUUAGGUCUAAAUAAUACCACAAGUUAAAACUUCUUACGUGAAACAGUCGGAGAUUGAGUUUUCUUUGCUAUAGUUUUUCUCCGGGAAUAGACACGUAGACAAUCUUCUUAUACGUACAUGCUCAAGUACGUAUCAUUGAUUCAAUAAAUAACUUCUUAUUUAAUGCAUGUUGAGAAGAAAAGAAAUAGACUCGAUUAAUAUUUUGUUUUGUUUUGUUUUUAGAAAUUAAUAAUAUACACCGAGAAUUUCAUAAUAGUGUUAGAAAUAUCAUCACCGUAACACGUACACACGAAAAUUAUCGGGUAUUAAUAUAAUAUAUUACUGAAAGAACUAAAGUGACAUUGUGGGAAACAAAAUAACAUUACAAAUGUGCAGUUUUUUUGCGGGCAUGAUACUUUUAUGAUUUUAUCAUAUGCUUAUAUUAACGCAAUUCGAGCGUACCAUUCCUUUUAUAUACAAAAUAAAAUAAUAUUACGGUCGUUAUCAAAAUGUUUAAGUGGAAAAAAUAAAUGCACACUGACUUUAUAAUAUAUGGCAUAUCAUCGCAUAUUCGAUAAAUUAACUUUAUUUUGAAAUUAUUUGGAAACCAGCUUUUGUUGGCAACUGUUGAUAACCACUGUGCAAGUACUUCUGGUAUAUUUGUCUUAUUGUUAUAUUUUAAAGGAAAUAUAAUAAAACAAACUAUAUUCAUUUUCUUAACAAUUGUUCAAAUUGUUUGAAAGUGUGUAUUCUUUCCUUAAAUAAAAGCUACGAAAUUACGUAAUAUGAUUUACAUAUAUAUGACAAUUAAUGAUUAUGAAUAAUAGUUUAAAGACAGCAGGGGUGAAGCAGAUCUGAGCAAUUGGUAAUAAAAUCAUGGAAGAAGAAGCCAGUUACAAGGUGGUCACCUUUAAAGAAUACAAGUUAGCAGUCGUACCUUUCGCUUCGUGUGUAAGAAUCAACCGAAGCUAAAAAUCAAGAAGCCCUUUAUCAUGAGUCACAACUGGAGAUCGCUAAACUGAAUCUGAUCGCAUAUUAGAAUAUUCUUUUAUUGUUGUUUAUUAUUUAUGUUAUCAGUUUAUUUUGGUAUUGUUUUCAUUACUAUGUAUUUAAACUACAAAUCAUCAAUAAUAUAGUGAUCAAUGUUGAAACUUUUGAGAUGACAAAUUAAUAAUUAGUUAAGCCAGAAGUUUGAUGAUAAAUUAGC
rnacentral:lncRNA from 1 species